UCUCUCUCUCUCUCUCUCUCUCUCUCUCUCACACACACAAACACACACACACACACUCCGCACAGGUAACAAUCUCUCUCUCUCACACACUCCGCACAGGUAACAAUCUCUCUCUCUCACACACUCCGCACAGGUAACAAUCUCUCUCUCUCACACACUCCGCACAGGUAACAAUCUCUCUCUCUCACACACUCCGCACAGGUAACAAUCUCUCUCUCUCACACACUCCGCACAGGUAACAAUCUCUCUCUCUCACACACUCCGCACAGGUAACAAUCUCUCUCUCUCUCUCUCUCUCUCUCACACACACACACACACACACUGUGCACAGGUAACAAUCUCUCUCUCUCACACACACACACUCUGCACAGGUAACAAUCUCUCACACACACACACACUCUGCACAGGUAACAAUCUCUCACA